rnacentral:tRNA from 1 species
GGCUCUAUGGUCUAAAGGUAUGACGCUUCGGAUCUAACGAAGAAGUACAGGUUUCGAGUCCUGUUGGGUCCC